GGGGGAUGCAAGCGUUAUCCGGAAUCAUUGGGCGUAAAGCGCCUGUAGGUUGUUUAAUAAGUCUGUUGUUAAAGACUAGGGCUCAAACCCUAGGAAAGCAAUGGAAACUACUAGACUUGAGUAUGAUAGGGGUAGAGGGAAUUUCUAGUGUAGCGGUGAAAUGCGUAGAUAUUAGGAAGAACACCGGUGGCGAAGGCGCUCUACUGGAUCAUUACUGACACUCAGAGGCGAAAGCUAGGGUAGCAAAAGGGAUUAGAUACCCCUGUAGUCCUAGCCGUAAACGAUGGAUACUAGAUGUUGCGUUUAUUAUGCAGUAUCGUAGCUAACGCGUUAAGUAUCCCGCCUGGGGAGUACGCUCGCAAGGGUGAAACUCAAAGGAAUUGACGGGGGCCCGCACAAGCGGUGGAGCAUGUGGUUUAAUUCGAUGCAACGCGAAGAACCUUACCAAGGCUUGACAUACUACAAAUUUCUUUGAAAGAGGAAAGUGCCUUCGGGAAUGUAGAUACAGGUGGUGCAUGGCU
rnacentral:rRNA from 1 species